rnacentral:lncRNA from 1 species
GGCUGAUGGGCUCCUCGCGAUGUUCUCCCCUUCUGCAGAUGCGACGUUUUCUGGCCGUGCCCACAAGUCUUGCGGUCAAGAAAGUUUCAGGAACUCUUGUUAGUUCAUCUCUGGCUGUGGUAGGUUUAUCUGAAUCGUGAGACUAGUAGGUUUAUCUGAAUCGCGAGGCUAGCAGGUUUACCUGAAUCAUGAAGCAGUGAUGAAAUUAUGUGUGCAUCGGAUGUUGGAAAUCGAGCUUGUAAUGCAAUUUGUUACUCUUGAUGCAAAUGAAUGGUCUGGUCGUUACUUCUGUAGUUACGAUUUUAAACUGGUGAUUGUUGCGUUUCUCAUGCAACUGAAUCGUGUCAGCAAAAGUUGC